rnacentral:rRNA from 1 species
UACGUAGGGUGCAAGCGUUGUCCGGAAUUAUUGGGCGUAAAGAGCUCGUAGGUGGCCUGUCGCGUCGGCUGUGAAAACUCGGGGCUCAACUCCGAGCUUGCAGUCGAUACGGGCAGGCUAGAGUUCGGCAGGGGAGACUGGAAUUCCUGGUGUAGCGGUGAAAUGCGCAGAUAUCAGGAGGAACACCGGUGGCGAAGGCGGGUCUCCGGGCCGAUACUGACACUGAGGAGCGAAAGCGUGGGAGCGAACAGG